UACGUAGGGGGCAAGCGUUAUCCGGAAUUACUGGGUGUAAAGGGAGCGUAGACGGUGAUGUAAGUCUGGAGUGAAAGGCGGGGGCCCAACCCCCGGACUGCUCUGGAAACUAUAUGACUGGAGUGCAGGAGAGGUGAGCGGAAUUCCUAGUGUAGCGGUGAAAUGCGUAGAUAUUAGGAGGAACACCAGUGGCGAAGGCGGCUCACUGGACUGUAACUGACGUUGUGGCUCGAAAGCAUGGGUAGCGAACA
rnacentral:rRNA from 1 species